GUGCUUGCUUUGGCAGUACAUAUACUAAAAUUGAAACAAUAGAGAAGAUUAGUAUGGCUCCUAGGAAAGGUUGACAUAAAUUUGUGAAGUGUUCCACAUUUAA
ensembl:snRNA U6 U6 spliceosomal RNA